CGGCAACAGCUCAAAUUUGAAAUCUGGCCCCUCGGGGUCCGAGUUGUAAUUUGUAGAGGAUGCUUUUGGUGAGGUGCCGCCCGAGUUCCCUGGAACAGGACGUCAUAGAGGGUGAGAAUCCCGUAUGUGACUGGCUGCCUUCGCCUAUGUGAAGCUCUUUCGAC
rnacentral:rRNA from 1 species